UGUCCACUAGACACCAUUCUUGACAGGAAAGCAGCUUUAUGAAAGCAAACACACACAAUUAUAAUUUGGAGACAACAUAUAUCCUCCAAAGGGUGGGAACAUUAUUUUUGAAAUACUAGCCUCACGAAGGCCCAAGCAGGAGGGGUAAUUAGGGUACAUAUAAAUUUAGAUACUGAAUGUAAAAAGGUAGAGUACAAAAUGCAAGCAUUCUGGAAAGAAACUUAGAAAUAGAAUGCAGCUUUACAAAAACAAUACGCGAAACAUUUGAUUUAACAUCAGAUGUGGAAAAGUAGAAGUAAUAAUGUCAUAGAGAGUUUAUAAUUUACGUAGCAUUCCUAGCUAGAACGGCAGUAGAAAAGACAAUCUCAGUGAGAGGUGUCAUCUGCCAUUUUAU
rnacentral:lncRNA from 1 species